rnacentral:rRNA from 1 species
GGGUAAUUUGGAGAAGGUGUUUCGGAAGAGAUGAUGGUCCAAGUCCCUUGGAACAGGGCGUCGCAGAGGGUGAGAAUCCCGUAUGUGACCAAUCAUCGAUUCCAUGUGAAAUCCUUUCGACGAGUCGAGUUGUUUGGGAAUGCAGCUCUAAAUGGGUGGUAAAUUUCAUCUAAAGCUAAAUACCUGCCAGAGACCGAUAGCGCACAAGUAGAGUGAUCGAAAGAUGAAAAGCACUUUGAAAAGAGAGUCAAACAGUACGUGAAAUUGUUGAAAGGGAAGCGCUUGCAAUCAGACUCGUUGCAGAAGCUCAGCCAUCCUUUGAGAUGGUGUAUUCUUCUGUCAACGGGCCAGCAUCAGUUUCGGCGGUUGGAUAAAGACUUUGAGAAUGUAUCUCUCCUCGGAGAGUGUUAUAGCUCGGAGUGUAAUGCAGCAGCUGAGACUGAGGUCCGCGCUCUGCUAGAUGCUGGCUAAUUGA